rnacentral:tRNA from 1 species
GCCGCCUUAGCUCAGCCCAGCAGAGCGGCAGUUUCGUAAACUGCAGGUCGAGGGAGCAAAGCCCUCAGGCGGCU